rnacentral:lncRNA from 10 species
CCCGGGACCAAUCUCAGACUAAUCAGAAGGCUGACCAACAAGCUAAAAUUUCCACUAUUACUGCAGACUCAGGCCCAGAAGAACCGGAUUGGGCUGCGCUCAUGCAAUGGGUGCAUCUCCAGUGAGGACAUCUAGGCAUCCAGGGAACCAUGGCUUGGGGACAGCAAAGAGGGAUAUCAUUACCGAAGGAUGUGGUUCACACAACUUUAUCCCAACGCACUACACGCCAACAGUUAAAAACUAAGCCAGUUCCUCAGAGGGUUUUGGGGCACAUUCAUAGGGGAAAAAUGCC